rnacentral:rRNA from 1 species
UACAGAGGUCUCAAGCGUUGUUCGGAUUCAUUGGGCGUAAAGGGUGUGUAGGUGGCCGCCGUAAGUCGGGUGUGAAAUUUCGGAGCUUAACUCCGAAACUGCAUUCGAUACUGCGGUGCUUGAGGACUGGAGAGGAGACUGGAAUUCAUGGUGUAGCAGUGAAAUGCGUAGAGAUCAUGAGGAAGACCAGUGGCGAAGGCGGGUCUCUGGACAGUUCCUGACACUGAGACACGAAGGCCAGGGGAGCAAACGGG